rnacentral:piRNA from 1 species
AUGUUAAAAGAUAGUAGGAAAUAC